rnacentral:misc_RNA from 1 species
GAUGAAGAACGCAGCGAAAUGCGAUAAGUAAUGUGAAUUGCAGAAUUCAGUGAAUCAUCGAAUCUUUGAACGCACCUUGCGCUCCUUGGUAUUCCGAGGAGCAUGCCUGUUUGAGUGUCAUGAAAUUCUCAACCUUUUCAGCUUUCUUUGUUGAUCAGGCUUGGAUGUGGGAGUAUGCGGGCUUCUCAGAAGUCGGCUCUCCUGAAAUGCAUUAGCGGGACCUUUGUUGCCUGGCUUUGGUGUGAUAAUUAUCUACGCCAUUGUAGUCAAGCAGCUUAAAAUGAGGUUUCAGCUUCUAACCGUCUCCCCUGAGACAACUUUUUGACAAUUUGACCUCAAAUCAGGUAGGACUACCCGCUGAACUUAAGCAUAUCAAUAAGCCGGAGGA